rnacentral:lncRNA from 1 species
UAUCUUUUAAUAAGAAUUACCUAGAAAAACUAGAGAUUGAUACUUGGAGAGGAUCAUUUGUGACUUAAGAUUAAAAACAAAUCCUAAGACACAAAAUUUCACAUCUAUAUCAAUUGUGGGGUUCUUUGAUUGAUCGAAAAAAGAAAAUGGAGCAAACUUUGGAAGGUUUAUUUAAGCACUUGUUUUGAGUGAUUUGAGUGAAUAUUAAUUCUAUGAAAUCUUUGUAAUCUUAGCGCUAUUUUAAGUGAUUUAGAAUAUUAUAAAAUAAAAAAGAUUUUAUAUUUUAGAGAAUUUUGUGAGCAUUGUAACAAAUCUAUAAGUUAUAUAUUGUAAGAUUUUUAAUCU